GUGCCCGUGGCGCAGUUGGAUAGCGUGUCAGACUCCGACUCUGAAGGUCGCAGGUUCGAAUCCUGUCGGGCAUACCA
rnacentral:tRNA from 1 species